rnacentral:rRNA from 1 species
AGUGAACGCUGGCGGUAGGCCUAACACAUGCAAGUCGAACGGCAGCACAGUAAGAGCUUGCUCUUACGGGUGGCGAGUGGCGGACGGGUGAGGAAUACAUCGGAAUCUACUUUUUCGUGGGGGAUAACGGAGGGAAACUUACGCUAAUACCGCAUACGACCUACGGGAGAAAGCAGGGGAUCUUCGGACCUUGCGCGAUUGAAUGAGACGAUGUCGGAUUAGCUAGUUGGCGGGGUAAAGGCCCACCAAGGCGACGAUCCGUAGCUGGUCUGAGAGGAUGAUCCGCCACACUGGAACUGAGACACGGUCCAGACUCCUACGGGAGGCAGCAGUGGGGAAUAUUGGACAAUGGGCGCAAGCCUGAUCCAGCCAUACCGCGUGGGUGAAGAAGGCCUUCGGGUUGUAAAGCCCUUUUGUUGGGAAAGAAAAGCAGCAGGUUAAUCCCCCGCUGUUCUGACGGUACCCAAAGAAUAAGCACCGGCUAACUUCGUG